rnacentral:rRNA from 1 species
UACGGGGGGAGCAAGCGUUGUUCGGAUUUACUGGGCGUAAAGGGCGCGUAGGCGGUCAGCACAAGUCAGUUGUGAAAUCUCCGGGCUUAACUCGGAAAGGUCAACUGAUACUGUGCGACUAGAGUGCAGAAGGGGCAACUGGGAAUUCUCGGUGUAGCGGUGAAAUGCGUAGAUAUCGAGAGGAACACCUGCGGCGAAGGCGGGUUGCUGGGCUGACACUGACGCUGAGGAGCGAAAGCGUGGGGAGCGAACAGG